rnacentral:rRNA from 1 species
GACGUAGGGCGCGAGCGUUAAUCGGAUUUACUGGGCGUAAAGGGCGCGUAGGUGGUCAAGCAAGUAAGAUGUGAAAGCCCUGGGCUUAACCUGGGAAGUGCAUCUUAAACUGCUUAACUUGAGUAUGGUAGAGGGUAGUGGAAUUUCCGGUGUAGCGGUGAAAUGCGUAGAGAUCGGAAGGAACGCCAGUGGUGAAGACGACUACCUGGACCAAUACUGACACUGAGGCGCGAAAGCGUGGGGAUCAAACAGG